rnacentral:rRNA from 1 species
GAUGAACGCUGGCGGCGUGCCUAAUACAUGCAAGUCGAGCGAACGGACGAGAAUCUUGCCUCUCUGAUGUUAGCGGCGGACGGGUGAGUAACACGUGGAUAACCUACCUAUAAGACUGGGAUAACUUCGGGAACCCUGAGCUAACACCGGAUAAUAUUUUGAACGGCAUGGUUCAUCAGUGCAGGACGGUCUUGCUGUCACUUAUACAUGUAUCCUCGUUGGAUUAGCUAGUUGGUAAGGUAACGGCGUACCAAGGCAACGAUGCGUAGCUGACCUGAGAGGAUGAUCAGUCACACUGGAACUGAGACACGGUCCAGACUCCUACGGGAGGCAGCAGUAGGGAAUCUUCGGCAAUGGGCGAAAGCCUGACGGAGCAACGCCGCGUGAGUGAUGAAGGUCUUCGGAUCGUAAAGCUCUGUUAGUAGGGAAGAACAUAUGUGUAAGUAACUGUGCACAUCUUGACGGUACCUAAACAGAAAGCCACGGCUAACUACGUG